rnacentral:rRNA from 1 species
AUUGAACGCUGGCGGCAGGCCUAACACAUGCGAGUCGAGCGGAUGAAGGGAGCUUGCUCCUGGAUUCAGCGGAGGACGGGUGAGUAAUGCCUAGGGAUCUGCCUGGUAGUGGGGGAUAACGUCCGGAAACGGGCGCUAAUACCGCAUACGUCCUGAGGGAGAAAGUGGGGGAUCUUCGGACCUCACGCUAUCAGAUGAGCCUAGGUCGGAUUAGCUAGUUGGUGGGGUAAAGGCCUACCAAGGCGACGAUCCGUAACUGGUCUGAGAGGAUGAUCAGUCACACUGGAACGGAGACACGGUCCAGACUCCUACGGGAGGCAGCAGUGGGGAAUAUUGGACAAUGGGCGAAAGCCUGAUCCAGACAUGCCGCGUGUGUGAAGAAGGUCUUCGGAUGGUAAAGCACUUUAAGUUGGGAGGAAAGGCAGUAAGUUAAUACCUUGCUGUUUUGACGUUACCAACAGAAUAAGCACCGGCUAACUUCAUG